AUGAGAGAUGCACAUUUCAUAACCAAGCCAAGGACUUUGCAAUCAAUCUGGAGAAUAAGGUGUUUUCUAUUAAUGAAGCUUUACAGAUGAAGUCUUUGACAUUUGUGAUCGACGCCUGCAAGAUUCUUGCCCAAGCUCGAAAGGUGCUGGCAUACUCGUGUGUUUACAGCUAUUACAAUCAGGACACUGAGAAGAUGGAUGUGAUGGAGCAACAGACAGAAGCUCUGGACCUUCAUACUAACGCCCUGCAGAUCCUGCUUGGUUAGUGUUAGGGAAAGCGCACUCUCAACUCUGCCAAUCAGUCACUCGCCAUUGCUUUUGGGAAUGUUAUACAAGAAACCUUGGACAAGUUGACUGCAACAGUGACCACAAACCUUUUCACCAGCCUUGGUUCUUGGAAGUACUUUUCCCAUUCACAUUCUCAAUAGGGAU